rnacentral:tRNA from 1 species
UGGGGUAUAGCUCAAUGGUAGAGCACAUGCUUAGCAUGUGCGAGGGCCUAGGUUCAAUCCCCAGUACCUCCA